rnacentral:rRNA from 1 species
UACGUAGGGACCAAGCGUUGUUCGGAUUUACUGGGCGUAAAGGGCGCGUAGGCGGCGCUGUAAGUCACUUGUGAAAUCUCCGGGCUUAACUCGGAACGGUCAAGUGAUACUGCAGUGCUAGAGUGCAGAAAGGGCAAUCGGAAUUCUUGGUGUAGUGGUGAAAUGCGUAGAUAUCAAGAGGAACACCUGAGGCGAAGGCGGGUUGCUAGGCUGACACUGACGCUGACAGCGCGAAAGCCAGGGGAGCAAACGGG